GAUGAAGAACGCAGCGAAAUGCGAUAAGUAGUGUGAAUUGCAGAAUUCAGUGAAUCAUCGAAUCUUUGUACGCACAUUGCGCCCCUUGGUAUUCCAUGGGGCAUGCCUGUUCGAGCGUCAUUUGUACCUUCAAGCUCUGCUUGGUGUUGGGUGUUUGUCUCGCCUCUGCGUGUAGACUCGCCUCAAAACAAUUGGCAGCCGGCGUAUUGAUUUCGGAGCGCAGUACAUCUCGCGCUUUGCACUCAUAACGACGACGUCCAAAAGUACAUUUUUACACUCUUGACCUCGGAUCAGGUAGGGAUACCCGCUGAACUUAAGCAUAUCAAUAAGCGGAGGA
rnacentral:misc_RNA from 1 species